GGACAAUGCAGUGAGCCAGCUCUCCAAUGUGUGAGUCUUGAGACCUCAGGCAAGUGGUUUUCCUUCUCAGGGAAGGGGCUCUGGUGCCCAUAGCAACAAUUCAUGUGUAAUAAGAGCUCAAGAGUCAUUUGCUUACAAAAUAAUUCUUGAGUGCCUACAACUUGAGUGCCAGGCUGUUUUCUGGGCAAAAGGGAGGCAGCUGUGAACAAGACAGACCAGGCUAUGUUUCCUGGAACUAUAGUACAUUCUAUGAGGGAAGGUUAUGCAAUAAAUAAAUGAACACAUACAUGAAAGAUAAUAUAGUGCCACGCAGAGAAUAACAAUGGCUGAGACUGAAUGAUAACUAUCUACUGAACCAAUUAAUGAACAAAAGAGAAGUAGGAAGGAAGACUUUCUGAAAACCACAUUCCCGGGAGGUAUAGAAUUCAAACAGGGAGCCCAAGGGCUGAGACGACACACCAAAGUAUCCUCUAAGAUAUAAGAAGACUUCCUGGAGAAGAUGCUUAUUGAGCAGAUGCUCUGGGCUGAGCUGGCUGAGGACAGGAAGAUGGUGACAGAAGACCAUCCCCACCCUCUGAAGGCUCACAGUCCAGAAGUGGGAGAUAGACAGAUUUCUUUCUCCUAAACACAUACCCAAAGAGAUUCCUCCUCAGCUGAAGUCAGAGCAGCAGCAGAAGGAGGAGGAGGAGGAAGAGGAAGAGCAGGAAGAGGAAAGAGGAGAAGGGAGAAGAGGAGGAAGAAAGUAGAGGCAGGAGAAGAAAGAGGGGAAAAGAGG
rnacentral:lncRNA from 1 species